UGCUACUGACCUGACGUAAAUGUCUAAUUCUCUCAGUCUCUUCCAUCAUUUGAUUCUCACAAGACUCUUUGUUCUUGGACAAUUGAAUGUGUCUUGUGGGGGGGGGAGGUGGGGGACUAUUAUUCAAGAGGACAUUGUGUAUGAAGACAGGAACUACUAAGCGCUGUGUGAGGAAGAGCAUGUGGAAGGUACUGAAAGUGGUAAAAGAUUUGCCAACAGUCCUGGAAUAAAGAAAAGUUAAGAGUUUAUUGAUACACUGCAAGAGAGCACAGAGUGAGUUCCAAGGGCAGACUGCACCAUCAAGGAGAAAGGAACACCUUUAUUUUGUCAAGAAUUACACAUCAAAGGAGCAAAAUUAACAAUGGUCCACUAUUUGUGUCCUCACAGAAAGCCUUAAGACUUGAAAUAGGGACACGUGUAUCAACUCUAAGGAAAGGGUCACAGGCCAUUGGUUCACCCCUUAUGGAAUAUUACUUCUAAAUUACAGAGUUGGGGGAUUUGCCCAGUUUCUAGCAGUGCUCUGGGUCUAUAGAAACUCCAAUGAAAACUUCAUGUUCAGGCUGACCUUGAAUUCACUACAUAUCCCAGG